UGCUAAACCCAGGGUUAUUAGUUCAAACCUUGAGGGAGCCAUCUAGGGAUCUGGGGCAAAAAUUGGGGAUUGGUCCUGCUUUGAGCAGGGGGUUAGACUAGAUGACCUCCUGAGGUCCCUUCCAAUCCUGAUAUUCUAUGAUUCUA